rnacentral:rRNA from 1 species
CAGUCGCCGCGGUAAUACCAGCAGCCCAAGUGGUGGUCGCGUUUAUUGGGCCUAAAGCGCUCGUAGCCUGGCCGGUAAGUUCCCCGUGAAAUCGGGUCGCCCAACGAUUCGGCUUGCGGGGAAUACUGUCGGUCUUGGGGCCGGGAGACGCCGAGGGUACUCCGGGGGUAGCGGUGAAAUGCUGUAAUCCUCGGGGGACUACCAGUGGCGAAGGCGCUCGGCGAUAACGGGCCUGACGGUGAGGGGCGAAAGCUGGGGGCGCGAACGGGAUUAGAUACCCCAGUAGUCCCUGUCUCUUAUA